AGGACGAACGCUGGCGGCGUGCUUAACACAUGCAAGUCGAGCGGAAAGGCCCUUCGGGGUACUCGAGCGGCGAACGGGUGAGUAACACGUGAGCAACCUGCCCUUAGCUCCGGGAUAGCUCCGGGAAACCGGAAUUAAAUACCGGAUACGACCACGGCCGACAUCUGCUGUGGUGGAAAGGAUUCCGGCUAAGGAUGGGCUCGCGGCCUAUCAGCUUGUUGGUGGGGUAACGCCUACCAAGGCGACGACGGGUA
rnacentral:rRNA from 1 species